rnacentral:snRNA from 1 species
UGGUGACCAGAGAGUACACC